rnacentral:rRNA from 1 species
AACGAACGCUGGCGGCGUGGAUAAGACAUGCAAGUCGAGCGCUUAUUUCCUGAUAGCAAUAUUAGGGAGUAGGAGCGGCGCAAGGGUGCGUAACACGUGGAUCAUCUGCCUGGAAGUUCGGAAUAAUCCCGAGAAAUCGGGACUAAUGCCGGAUGUGGUUGAGAGACUAAAGCUGGGGACCGCAAGGCCUGGCGCUUCCAGAUGAGUCCGCGGCCUACAGCUAGUUGCGGGUAACGGCCACCAAGGCUAAGACGGGUAGCUGGUCUGAGAGGACGACCAGCCACACUGGAACUGAGACACGGUCCAGACACCUACGGGUGGCAGCAGUCGAGAAUUUUUCUCAAUGGGGAAACCCUGAAGGAGCGACGCCGCGUGGGGAUGAAGGGCUUCGGCCCGUAAACCCCUGUCAUUUGCGAACAAACGUCAUGAUUGAACAAGUCAUGGCUUGAUUGUAGCGAAAGAGGAAGGGACGGCUAACUCUGUGCCAGC